rnacentral:rRNA from 1 species
GCACCGGCUAACUCCGUGCCAGCAGCCGCGGUAAUACGGAGGGUGCGAGCGUUAAUCGGAAUUACUGGGCGUAAAGACGCAUGCAGGUGGUUUGUUAAGUCAGAUGUGAAAGACCCGGGGCGUCAACCUCGGAAUAGCAUUUGUAAACUAGGCAGACUAGAGUACUGUAGAGGGGGGUAGGAAUUUCAGGUGUAGCGGUGAAAUGCGUAGAGAUCUGAAGGAAUACCGGUGGCGAAGGCGGCCCCCUCGGACAGAUACUGACACUCAGAUGCGAAAGCGUGGGGAGCAAACAGGAUUAGAUACCCUGGUAG